CCUACGGGAGGCAGCAGUGAGGAAUAUUGGUCAAUGGGCGAGAGCCUGAACCAGCCAAGUCGCGUGAAGGAUGAAGGAUCUAUGGUUUGUAAACUUCUUUUAUAUGGGAAUAAAGUGAGGAACGUGUUCCUUUUUGUAUGUACCAUAUGAAUAAGCAUCGGUUAACUCGGUGCCAGCCGCCGCGGUAAUACGGAGGAGGCGAGCGUUAUCCGGAUUUAUUGGGUUUAAAGGGUGCGUAGGUGGUUAAUUAAGUCAGCGGUGAAAGUUUGGGGCACAACCAUAAAAGUGCCGUUGAAACUGGUUGACUUGAGUAUAUUUGAGGUAGGCGGAAUGCGUGGUGUAGCGGUGAAAUGCAUAGCUAUCACGCAGAACUCCGAUUGCGAAGGCAGCUUACUAAACUAUAACUGACGCUGAAGCACGAAAGCGUGGGUAUCGAACAGGAUUAGAUACCCGGGUAGUC
rnacentral:rRNA from 1 species